AACGAACGCUGGCGGCAUGCCUAACACAUGCAAGUCGAACGAGACCAUCGGGUCUAGUGGCGCACGGGUGCGUAACGCGUGGGAACCUGCCCUUAGGUUCGGAAUAACUCCCCGAAAGGGGUGCUAAUACCGGAUAAUAUCUUCGGACCAAAGAUUUAUCGCCUUUGGAUGGGCCCGCGUUGGAUUAGCUAGUUGGUAGGGUAAAAGCCUACCAAGGCGACGAUCCAUAGCUGGUCUGAGAGGAUGAUCAGCCACACUGGGACUGAGACACGGCCCAGACUCCUACGGGAGGCAGCAGUGGGGAAUAUUGGACAAUGGGCGAAGGCCUGAUCCAGCAAUGCCGCGUGAGUGAUGAAGGCCUUAGGGUUGUAAAGCUCUUUUACCCGGGAUGAUAAUGACAGUACCGGGAGAAUAAGCUCCGGCUAACUCCGUG
rnacentral:rRNA from 1 species